CCUACGGGAGGCAGCAGUGAGGAAUAUUGGUCAAUGGACGGAAGUCUGAACCAGCCAUGCCGCGUGCAGGAAGACGUCUCUAUGAGUUGUACACUGCUUUUGUCCAAGGGUAAACCUGAAUACGUGUAUUCAGCUGACAGUACUUUACGAAUAAAGAUCUGCUAACUCCGUGCCAGCAACCGCGGUAAUACGGAGGAUCCAAGCGUUAUCCGGAUUUCUUGGGUUUAAAGGGUGCGUAGGCGGAUUGAUAAGUUAGAGGUGAAAUGUCCGAGCUUAACUCGGGAACUGCCUCUACUACUGUUGAUCUAGAGAGUAGAUGCGGUAGGCGGAAUGUAUGGGGUAGCGGGGAAAGGCUUAGAGAUCAUACAGAACACCGAUUGCGAAGGCAGCUUACCAAUCUAUAUCUGACGUUGAGGCACGAAAGCGUGGGGAGCAAACAGGAUUAGAUACCCUUGUAGUC
rnacentral:rRNA from 1 species